CUACGUGCCAGCAGCCGCGGUAAUACGUAGGGGGCGAGCGUUAUCCGGAAUCAUUGGGCGUAAAGAGCGCGUAGGCGGCCCCUCAAGCGGGAUCUCUAAUCCGAGGGCUCAACCCCCGGCCGGAUCCCGAACUGGGGGGCUCGGGUGCGGUAGAGGAGGAUGGAAUUCCCGGUGUAGCGGUGAAAUGCGUAGAUAUUAGGAGGAACACCAGUGGCGAAGGCGGCUUACUGGACGGUAACUGACGUUGAGGCUCGAAAGCGUGGGGAGCA
rnacentral:rRNA from 1 species